GGGGAUGUAGCUCAGAGGUAGAGCCCAGGCCUCCCAUGCAGGAAGCCCUGGGUUCAAGUCCUAGCGCUGCCC
rnacentral:tRNA from 1 species